GACGAACGCUGGCGGCGUGCUUAACACAUGCAAGUCGAACGGAAAGGCCCUGCUUUUGUGGGGUGCUCGAGUGGCGAACGGGUGAGUAACACGUGAGUAACCUGCCCUUGACUUUGGGAUAACUUCAGGAAACUGGGGCUAAUACCGGAUAGGAGCUCCUGCUGCAUGGUGGGGGUUGGAAAGUUUCGGCGGUUGGGGAUGGACUCGCGGCUUAUCAGCUUGUUGGUUGGGUAGUGGCUUACCAAGGCUUCGACGGGUAGCCGGCCUGAGAGGGUGAACGGCGACCUGGGGACUGAGGGAGGGAGCAGACGGCUACGGGAGACAGCAGUGGGGAAUCUUGCACAAUGGGGGGAAGCCUGAUGAAGCGACGCCGCGUGCGGGAUGACGGCCUUCGGGUUGUAAACCGCUUUCGCCUGUGACGAAGCGUGAGUGACGGUAAUGGGUAAAGAAGCACCGGCUAACUACGUG
rnacentral:rRNA from 1 species